CAAGGCUGCCUCAUUUGCUCAUUGUGGCCGAAAAUCACCAAGAGAAAAAGGAGAGAAAGUUCUUGGUUCAUAAAUCUUCAAAGCUUGAUUUCUUCUGAACUAAAACUCAAAUCAAAACUCCGAUUUCACCAAAAUGAUCCUCUCUUCUUCCUCUACAUAACCAUGUGAAUUAUCAAGGCUGGAAAUAAGGAGGAAAAAGUGCUUAAGGACCACCUGAAAGUUUGAUUGAAUUAGGAGCAGCAAAACCAGAUGGAAGUAAGAGUACCUUACCGUAGUUCGCUGAUGACCGUUCGCAAGAAGAGGAUUCUGCUCUAGAUAGUUUUCUGAGUCUAGGGUGAAUAUCGUUUUCUGUUUAUAUGUAUAUACUGUGAAACCAGCCAACGUCUACACCCCGUUCGUAUGCGCACUUUAACCUAAAUCCUGUGUACGAGACUCCUAUUGUGUGGCUACUUCAUGAGGCACCAGAGAGACGUCCUGUGGAAAAGUCUGAUCGUGCAGAGGAGUAGCAGAUGAUGUUCUAUCUUUUGAUGACGUUCACUUGACUUGAGUUUUGAAGACUUAGAACGUACUUUCCCUCGCUUUAGUUGUUUAGAGGGACUAGGCGAGUAUAGAGUCUAGGCUAGCCUGGGUGCCAGCUUAUGGACUUCUUGAACAGGUCAGGACCUGGGAUGUUGUGUAUAUAUAUAUAUAUAUGUAUAUAGAUAUUAUUUAGCUAUAUCUAGGGGUGUUCUAACUAAAAGUAUAUACUCUAAUAAAGGUUGGAUCACUGAAUCUUGUUAGCUGCUUGUGAUGUAUU